rnacentral:rRNA from 1 species
AACGAACGCUGGCGGCAUGCCUAACACAUGCAAGUCGAACGAGAUCUUCGGGUCUAGUGGCGCACGGGUGCGUAACGCGUGGGAAUCUGCCCUUUGGUUCGGAAUAACAGUUGGAAACGACUGCUAAUACCGGAUGAUGACGAAAGUCCAAAGAUUUAUCGCCAGAGGAUGAGCCCGCGUAGGAUUAGCUAGUUGGUGUGGUAAAGGCGCACCAAGGCGACGAUCCUUAGCUGGUCUGAGAGGAUGAUCAGCCACACUGGGACUGAGACACGGCCCAGACUACUAGGGGAGGCAGCAGUGGGGAAUAUUGGACAAUGGGCGAAAGCGUGAUCCAGCAAUGCCGCGUGAGUGAUGAAGGCCUUAGGGUUGUAAAGCUCUUUUACCCGGGAUUAUAAUGACAGUACCGGGAGAAUAAGCUCCGGCUAACUCCGUGCCAGCAGCCGCCGUAA